rnacentral:rRNA from 1 species
UACGAAGGGGGCUAGCGUUGUUCGGAAUCACUGGGCGUAAAGCGCACGCAGGCGGAUUGAUACGUCAGGGGUGAAAUCCCGGGGCUCAACCUCGGAAUUGCCUUUGAUACUGUCUGCCUUGAGUUCGGGAGAGGUUGGCGGAAUUCCUAGUGUAGAGGUGAAAUUCGUAGAUAUUAGGAAGAACACCAGUGGCGAAGGCGGCCAACUGGCCCGAUACUGACGCUCAUGUGCGAAAGCGUGGGGAGCAAACAGG